GUAAGAGUUGGGCGGGCUGACCAGCGUCAACGGCGACUCUUGCUUAAAAGCGCUACCGGUGGGAUAGAGACUGAAACAGCGCACAAACGGACGGCGAAGCUAGCAUCCGUGUCUCGCAUGGCUGGCGGGU
rnacentral:ncRNA from 12 species